CCCUCCCAUCGAGCACGUUAGUUUCCUGCUUACCGCGUAAGCAACCCGCUCAACAAUAUAGUCUGCCUGGCAACUGAUGAUGUUAGCCAAUCAGCUUGCCUUGCUUACUUUAACAUGAUUGGACACUGUAUCCGUAUAUAUACUGGUGCCACCCCUGGGGGGGAAGAAGAAGCCCGGAAGUAGAAGCCUAGAAGGAGCCGCGGGGAGCGGACCAGAGGAGGCUUCGGCUGGGAGCGAUCCCAGGGCAGGCUGUACGGAGAAGGAAAAUAAAAGAAAAGGUUGUCCACUGCCAGACUUUGUCGUGUGUCCUUCCUGCCGGCCGGGAGCGACAUCGACACCCUGCCUUCUUCUCUACCCUCUUCCCAGCAGUCAGGAGCCACGCCAAAAUUCUCACUUAGAAGGCUGAAAAGUCCCAAGAUCUCAGAUUACGUCACCAAGAAGUCCAAGUCUGAGGGUCUCACAUGCAAAAGAAAUGAGAAUGAAGAUUUUAUCCAAAGGCCUACUGGCUCAAGACUCAGCAAGAGUGAAAGUUUCGGUUCAAACGCAGAGCUGGGGAAGACAAAUGUCUCACCUCAGAUCUCACACAGUUCCGUUGCUUUGAGGAAUUAUCCCACAAUGGUCCACUGGUGUGAAGAUCCAACCGUCACUGGUGUGAAGAUUAAAUGCUGUCUUCUUAUCUCCUUGGUACAAAGUGUCUUCCUUGUGGUCCGAUUUGGUUUGGCUUGGCUUCGGAAGUUUCCCACAACAGUAUCAAGGGAAGAGCCAGAAGUCACCCAGCCCCAGAUCCUGUGAAUAAGGUGAGUGAGGACACAUCAGCAUGGCUUUAAGAGCCUGCCUUUCCCCUCGAUGGCACUCAGAGGCAGCAGUCACCACAUUCAUCACACCUCACCAAACAAGACUUCAGAACUGUCAGAAAGUGACAAGAAUAAGACAGAAGGCUCCCAUUUGGGUAAUAUGUGGACUGUGAUAAAGGACACAUCUUCAAGAAGAAAAUGGAAGUAUGUGGAGGAAGGACCAGGACAGAGAAGACAACCACCUACUAGACCAUGGAGGAGAUCAGAUUUCUUCUCAUCAUCUGUAAACUGCCCAUGUGACUCCAUUCACAUUUAGAUCUGUAUACCUAGAACCUCAAAUCUACUUUUCUGUAAAUUCUUAAAGGUAUUGGAGUUAGAACCCAGGGACUUUGUGCUGAGUUACAUCCCCAGUCCUUUCUUAUUUUGACACAGCAUCUCACUAAGUUAUUAAUUUGCCCAGGUUGGGCUUGAACUGUGAUCCUCCAGUCUCAGCCCUCCAGAACACAGUGGGAUUAUAGGCAUGCACCACGGUACUGAGCAGGAGCAAGUCAGGUGGCAAAACCCAUGUGACUUCUAGGAGGAGCUGUUACAGUGGCAGAUGGCAAAGACGGAGAUGUGUCAUACUAAGGCGAGGAGGGCCGCAUAAUUCUGAACGGUGAUUCAGUGU